CAGCACCUCAAGAGGUCAGGAUGAUUAUUGGGCCUAAAGCAUCCGUAGCCGGCUCUGUAAGUCUUCGGUUAAAUCUGUACGCUCAACGUACAGGCUGCCGGGAAUACUGCAGAGCUAGGGAGUGGGAGAGGUAGACGGUACUCGGUAGGAAGGGGUAAAAUCCUUUGAUCUAUUGAUGACCACCUGUGGCGAAGGCGGUCUCCCAGAACACGUCCGACGGUGAGGGAUGAAAGCUGGGGGAGCAAACCGGAUUAGAUACCCGAGUAGUCC
rnacentral:rRNA from 1 species